GCAUCACCUGUAAGACAGAGAGGGAGAUCUGUGUGUCACAAUGGGAGCUAUUGUAGCAUUAGCAGUGUUUCUGGUGACUUUAUAUUAUGGUCACUGUGUUGAACUCACACAACCAGCCUUUAUGGUUGUAAAACCAGGACAGUCUCUGACCAUCUCCUGUAAAGUCUCUGGUUAUUCCCUGACUGAUAGCAGCUAUGCUACACACUGGAUCAGACAGCCUGCAGGAAAAGCUCUGGAGUGGGUGGGAGGUAUAGAGGGGGAUGGAAGCACUGCUUAUAAAGAUUCACUAAAGAACAAGUUCAUCAUCACCAGAGACACCUCCAGCAGCACAGUGACUUUGCAGGGGAGCAGCCUGCAGACUGGAGACACAGCUGUGUAUUACUGUGCCCGAUACACACAGUGCAGCAAAGCAACGCUAGAGCUGUACAAAAACACAUCACACUGA